rnacentral:ncRNA from 1 species
GCAAGGAUAAAAACGCAACACAUACCUCUUCGUAUGCCAGAGCCGGUAGGUAGCCCGGCCGUCCUGCUUUUGCAGGGUAAGUAACCUGCCCCUCCGGGUUGUCCAUUCUUUGCAGAAA